CAGCUAAACAAUCUGUCUCCAUGGAUUUCCACCCUUGUUUUUGUGUGUGUCCUGUCACCAUCAACACUAGCUCCUAGCACAGAGUUAAGAGUUCAUUGCUGGGCAGUGCAAGCCAAGCAGUAAGCGGGAGACCCAGCUUAACAAGAAGGAAUGUUGCGUAGACCAGGAAUGCUGGACCAUGUGGAGGCUGAAGGAACAGUUAGAAAAGAGGGCCCACCGGUUGGAAAUAAAGUCGGAAUAAUCCUGAGCAUCCAGGUAAUUAACUUCGGAGCUAAUGAUAUGUCCAACAAAUGCAAGAUGCCAUGCCGAAAUGUGAUUUGAGGAAGAGUCAAGAGAAUUCAGCAUUUCUGCAUGUAGAAACUUACAGAUUCAAGAAGGGGAACAACAGGAGCCAGCCCCGUGGCGUAGUGGUUCAGUUCAGCAUGCUCUGCUUCAGCGGCUUGGGUUCCCAGGUUUGGAUCCCAGGUACGGACCUCCACCACUCCUCAGCCAUGCUGAUGCAGUUACCCACAUCCAAAACAGAAGAAGACUGGCACAGAUGUUAGCUCAGGGCUAAUCUUCCUCAGCAAAAGAAGGGGAAACAACAAAACAAGAACAACAACAACAAAAGCAGGAUCUGAAACAAAAUCUAUGAAAUCAGAGUUGGAGAUAAAAUAGGAUCCGAACCAGCGAAACACUGGGCCACAGAAGUGGAGCGCGCGAAGUUAAUCACUCGGCCACGGGGCCGGCCUCCAGGAUUUGCCCCCAUCUCAAGGUCCUGAUUUGUAGCCUCAUUUGCUGUCUGGUUCGAGUGAAAUAUUUGUUCUUAGAUGGGCACUUGGUAAUAUACUCUCAAAGAUUUUGAAUAUCUUUGAAUUUUUUUUAAAUUCUGUCAGGUGAAUAACUCUUGAUUGACUAUAGGAUUCUGAAGUGACAGUCCUUUUAGCUUAGUAGUCUGCUGAUGAUAUUCCACUGACUUCUAGCUCUCAUAGUUAUGAACACACAUUCCAAAGGCAGUAUGCUAUUUUUACAGGGAUUAUUUGUUCUAUCAAGACUCUUAUAAAAAAAUUUAUGUAUAUAUAUGUAAAUAUUGAAUGUACAUAUUUUAUAAAUACAUGUAAAUAUUAAUUUUUGCAUUUAUAUAUGUGUAGAUUUCUUUUUCCAAGGGUCUGAUAGAGAGAACAAAUUACUCCCCUACAAAAUAACAAACUGCCUUUGGAAUGUUUGUUCAUAACUAUGAAAGCUUUAUAGAGAUAGAUAUAAAGAUAGAUAUAUUGGUGUAUAGAUAUAUUGGUAUAUAGGUAUUUUUCUAUAUAAAUAUUUACCAAAACUUAUCAUUAAUUCAUCAGAGACCAACCUUUAUUUCAAUUUAUAUACAGCUAUGUGUCGCUUAACGAAGCAAAUACAUUUUAAGAAAUGCAUCAUUAUGUGAUUUUGUUGUGGUGCAAAUAUCAUCGAGUGUACUGAAGGGGAAUAAAAUUUGCCACCCCAGAAUGUGUCUUAACAUGAGGAUUAUUUUAGGCUGAUUAUUUUUAAGAAAAAAAAUACUCAGAAGGUUUUCUUGUUACCUCCCCCUUACCUGCCUAAAAGAAUUCAGAUUAAAAAACCUGUCUCAGGGAGCUGGCCUGGUGGUGCAGUGGUUAAGCUCUCACAUUCCACUUCAGCAGCCAGGGUUCACCAGUUCGGAUACUGGGUGCAGACCUAUGCACCACUUGUCAAUCCGUGCUGUGGCCGGCGUCCCACAUAUAAAGUAGAGGAAGAUGGGCACCAAGGUUAGCUCAGGGCCUGUUUUCCUCAGCAAAUAGAGGAGGAUUGGCAACAGAUGUUAGCUCAAGGCUAAUCUUCCUCAAAGAAAUGAGAAAAAACCCAAACCUGUCUCAGAAAGUAAGCUAUUACCUUAACAUAACAUGAACUAGGUGGUAGAAAGCGAGACACCUAGAAAAAGGUGGUAGAAAGCGGCUCCUCUCUGUUUUCUUCUGUGAAACUUGUUUUCCAAAUGUUUGCUUCUUUUCACCUACUUGUGAAUUGCCUUUGUUUCCUUUGAGGCCCCUGACUCUCCCACCCCCAACCUCUUCUUUUGUUUUAGGUUGAAAAUGGUAUUUAAGGUGAAGGCUUCAGUCAUUUUGGUGAGUUAGUUUUUCUGGGUUUCUUCCAUGUGUACAUGUUAUUAAACUUUUGCUUGUUUUUCUCCUAUUAAUCUGUCUCAUGUCAAUUUAAUUCUUAGAUCAGCCAGAAGAACCUAGAAGGAUAGAGGACAAUUUCUUCCUCCUCUACAGUACUUACACAAACCUAGAUGACGUAGCCUACUACACACCUAGGCUGUAUGGUACUAAUCUUGUGGGACCACCGUCGUAUACGUGGUCUGUCGUUGACGGAAGUGUUGUUAUGUGGUACCUGACUGUACUAAAAUUUUUAAUUCAGAAGUCAUAGUUUUCAGUUUUAAGAAGUCUUUCAGUGCUUUUUCUCUCAAAUGCUCUUUUUCUGUUUAUUUAUACUUCUAUUCUUGCUCUAGCUCUUCCAGAAGUUCAAUUUCAUAAAGUGUGACUUAAGAUUCUUCAAUCUACUCCUCUCAACCAAGCUAUUUUGGAUCCUCAUAAAAGAAAACUAAAAGAGUUUGUCACUCACUGACCUGCACUACAAGAAAUGCCAAAAGAUGUUCCUCACGAUGAUGGGAAAUUAUACCAGUUACAUAAAAAAGGGUGAAGAGCAUCAGAAGUGACAAGAGAAUCUUGGAAUCACGUACUGGAGGUACCACAUUUACUCAGUGAUUACUUUGCCAUGUGAUAGCCAAUCUUCCCAGAUAUUUCAACUUCCUUCAGCAAACAAAAAUCGGAUGGUUCUGGUCCUGGGUAGAGAGAAGCAUUGUUCAUGAGAGGAAAACAUGGAAAAACGUAUUCAUCCUGGGCCCUCAGAAGUCAGGAAAGGAACCUGAAGAAUACACUUUGCCACAAGGAGGAAAAUAUGCCAGACAGGUCAUGCAAGUCUUCACUCUGCAUUUAUGUUAAAUUUAAAUUUAUCGUUUGCUUUUCUGGAUUUCUACACCAGUCUUCUGUGAGCAGGAGCAUAUAUACUUUCUUCUUAUUUAUCAUUGAAUCAUCUGCUUCUAGUCCUGAGUAAAUGUGCAAUAAAUUUUGAAUUGCUCUGAAUUGUUGAUGCCAAUCUAAAUCCUUUGGGCCCUGGUAGUCACAGAAGGGCUACCAUUUUGUUACAAGGAGGUGGGACAAAAGAGUAAAAGCAAGUGUUGUGGGCUGAAUUGUGACCCCCUCCCUCCCACCACCAAACUCAUAUGUUGAUGUCCUAACCCCCAGUACCUCAGAAUGUGACCUUAUUUGGAGAUAGUGUCCUCACAGAGGUAAUCAAGUUAAAAUGAAGUCAUUAGGGUGGACCCUAGUCCAAUAUGACCGGUGUCCUUAAAGGAAGGGAAAAUUUCGACCCACACAAGUACAGAGAGAAGAUGAUGUGAAGACCCAGGGAGAAGAUGGCCACCUUCAAGCCAAGGAGAGAGGUCUGGAACAGAUUCUUCCAUCACAGCCCUCAGAAGAAACCAACCCCGUCAAUACCUUGAUCUGAGACGUCUAGCCUCCAGAACUGUGAAACAAUACAUUUCUGUUGUUUAAACUACACAGUUUGUGGAGUUUGUGGGACUUUGUUAUAGCAGUCCUAGUAAACUAACACAAGUAUCUGAUUUCCUUUGCCCAUUAAAAAGAAAAGCUGGACAGAAAGCAGUUUGUAAUAGCAUUGUGGCGUUGUUGGGGAAGGUAGAUAAUAUAAGGACUCAUAUAUGAC
ensembl:lncRNA